UACCAGCACCCCGAGUGGUCGGGACGAUUAUUGGGCGUAAAGCGCACGUAGGCGGUUUGUUAAGUCGGAUGUGAAAUCCCUCGGCUCAACUGAGGAAGUGCAUCCGAAACUGGCAGGCUUGAGUACUAAAGAGGGUCGCGGAAUUCCCGGUGUAGAGGUGAAAUUCGUAGAUAUCGGGAGGAACACCGGUGGCGAAGGCGGCGACCUGGGUAGAUACUGACGCUGAGGUGCGAAAGCGUGGGGAGCAAACAGG
rnacentral:rRNA from 1 species